AUCUUCCGCAAUGGGCGAAAGCCUGACGGAGCAACGCCGCGUGAGUGAAGAAGGCCUUCGGGUUGUAAAGCUCUUUUGUCAGGGAAGAAACGGUGAGGGCUAAUAUCCCUUGCUAAUGACGGUACCUGAAGAAUAAGCACCGGCUAACUACGUGCCAGCAGCCGCGGUAAUACGUAGGGUGCAAGCGUUAUCCGGAAUUAUUGGGCGUAAAGCGCGCGUAGGCGGUUUCUUAAGUCUGAUGUGAAAUCCCCGGGCUCAACCUGGGAAUUGCAUUGGAGACUGCAAGGCUAGAAUCUGGCAGAGGGGGGUAGAAUUCCACGUGUAGCAGUGAAAUGCGUAGAUAUGUGGAGGAACACCGAUGGCGAAGGCAGCCCCCUGGGUCAAGAUUGACGCUCAUGCACGAAAGCGUGGGGAGCAAACA
rnacentral:rRNA from 1 species